rnacentral:rRNA from 1 species
GUGGGGAAUUUUGGACAAUGGGCGCAAGCCUGAUCCAGCAAUGCCGCGUGUGUGAAGAAGGCCUUCGGGUUGUAAAGCACUUUUGGCAGGAAAGAAAUAGUGCGUGCUAAUACCAUGCGCGAAUGACGGUACCUGCAGAAUAAGCACCGGCUAACUACGUGCCAGCAGUCGCGGUAAGACGUAGGGUGCAAGCGUUAAUCGGAAUUACUGGGCGUAAAGCGUGCGCAGGCGGUUUUGUAAGACAGGGGUGAAAUCCCCGGGCUCAACCUGGGAACUGCACUUGUGACUGCAAGGCUAGAGUGUGUCAGAGGGAGGUGGAAUUCCGCGUGUAGCAGUGAAAUGCGUAGAGAUGCGGAGGAACACCGAUGGCGAAGGCAGCCUCCUGGGAUAACACUGACGCUCAGGCACGAAAGCGUGGGGAGCAAACAGGAUUAGAUACCCUUGUAGUCC